rnacentral:rRNA from 1 species
CACGGAGAGUUUGAUUCUGGCUCAGAACGAACGCUGGCGGCGUGGAUAAGACAUGCAAGUCGGACGCUAAUUGCCGGGUAGCAAUAUUCGGCAGUUGGAGUGGCGUAAGGGUGCGUAACACGUGGGUAAUCUGCCGUGAAGUCGGGGAUAACUCGCUGAAAGGCGAGCUAAUACCGGAUGUUGAUCUUGAGUGGAAUCGUUUAGGAUCCAAAGUUGGGGACCGUAAGGCCUGACGCUUCACGAUGAGCCCGCGGCCUAUCAGCUAGUUGGUGAGGUAACAGCUCACCAAGGCUAAGACGGGUAGCUGGUCUGAGAGGACGACCAGCCACACUGGAACUGAGACACGGUCCAGACACCUACGGGUGGCAGCAGUCGAGAAUUUUUCACAAUGGGCGAAAGCCUGAUGGAGCGACGCCGCGUGGGGGAUGAAUGGCUUCGGCCCGUAAACCCCUGUCAUUUGCGAACAAUUCGCGCUACCUAACACGUAGCGCGUUGAUAGUAGCGAAAGAGGAAGGGACGGCUAACUCUGUGCCAGCAGCCGCGGUAAUACAGAGGUCCCAAGCGUUGUUCGGAUUCACUGGGCGUAAAGGGUGCGUAGGCGGUCGGGUAAGUCUGAUGUGAAAUCUCCGAGCUCAACUCGGAAAUGGCAUUGGAUACUAUUCGGCUGGAGGGUUGGAGGGGGGACUGGAAUUCUCGGUGUAGCAGUGAAAUGCGUAGAUAUCGAGAGGAACACCAGUGGCGAAGGCGAGUCCCUGGACAACUCCUGACGCUGAGGCACGAAAG